UAUUUCGCACGUACAAUCAUUUCGCCAGUUCUCUGCACGAAUACCGAGAGAAAACGAACGGGUGUUCUUCGUGUUCUUCAUAAUCAAACAAGGAUUUGAAGGCGUUAUUGGAAUCCGAUGGAGGCGUAUAAAUAGUCAAAACGAAGCUCUCGACGCGUAGAAUCUAUUGUAGUUAUCCAUACCAGUGCUGAAUCGACAGGUUUUUACUAAGUAAGCUUUUUAAUUUCGAAUUUAAAUGAUUUUAAAUAUGAAUUUUUGCAAACGUGCUUGUUUGAUUGAUUUGAUGCUUCCAUGUUGUAGAGCGUCUCCUGCCAUUCGUUUUCAUAUAUUAUAUGCCGAUUUUUGACUUCCGUAACAUAUAGAAAAGUUAGUUUGAUUCUUGAAGUUGUGUUCUUGGAGGUUAUGAAUGUUCUUAAUUGGAAAAGAGGCGUUUUUAAUCUGGGGAUUCUGCGUUGUAUUGGUUUAUACCAUUAGGAAGAGCGUGUCAAGAGGAAUAUGUUCAUAUAAUCGGAUUUUGUGGAGGAUUCACGGUUGAGCUUAUUGGAGUUUAAGAACACCGGCGGUGUUCUUGGACUUUCCGGCCAAAAUCCGGCCAAACUACAUGCUAUUUACUGAUUCUGAUUAUGGGUAUGGGUUCCUGGUAGUAUGAACUUUAAAUCUGGAGUUUAUGGGGUGUGUAGGACGUCGGAAAAUCGAUUUCCGGCGAGGUAGUAUGGUGGCCGACGGAUAAUUUCCGUUUGGUCACCAACGUUAUGAAGAUGAUGAAGGUUUGACACUGGAGUUUGAUUGUUGACAUUCUAGCUCUCGAACUUUUGAAAGUUUACACCUGGCACCCUGCCAGACAAUUUCAGUAUUUUUACAAUUUAAACCUUUUCAAAUUUAUUUCAAAAAUUCAUUUUAGUGAUUUAUUUUAAUUUCAAAAAUAGUUUCUAAUUACUUCUUUAUUCAAAAAUAAAUCUGAAAUUAGUUUAUUAAUUAAAUUUAAUUAGUAAUUAAUUAUUUUAAUUGGUCAAUUAAUUUUAAUAUUAAUUGAUGGAUUAUUUUAAUUAAUUAUUAAUUGAUUUUAAUUGAUUAAUUAAUUAGAUUUAAUGAUUUCUUUUGAUUUAAAAAUUUCGAGAAAUAGUUUCGAGCUUUGGAUUAUUUUUCUAAAAUAUGUUUGAGGCUCGUUAAAUGAUUUCAAAUGAUUUCGGAUCCGAUCUUGAGCAAUCGGAUUUGAUUAUUUAUUCAAAAAUGGAUUCUUUUACCUGUUUUAAUUCCGAAAAAUGUUUAGAAAUUCCAGAAAAUUCGCGAAAAAUCAUUUUUAACUUGAGACUUGAUUGGAUAUCGAUUGGGACGGGAAACCUUAUGUGCAAUGUGUUGUCUGCUGUCUGUGUGAUAUGUUAUGUGCCGAUAGGAGAGUUAGAAAACGGUUUUGAUCAUAUCUUUUGAUCCGUAAUUCAGAAUCAGGUGAAACGAAAGGGAGAUGAAAGCUUAUGGAAUCUAUUUUAAUAUGACAAGAUAAUAUGAUCGAGUCUAGAAUGUGAUUAUAUGUCAUGUAAUAUGCAAUAUGUGUCAAUAUGUGACUUGUCUGCUAUGAAUUGAUGAUUACGUGAUAUACGUGGCUAUUCCUAAUAUUAUACAUAUGUGAUAAAUGACUUAUAUGACAUAGUGUCGUGAAUUGAUUGAUAUUGGAUAAGAAUAUAUGGAUAGUGAUUGAAUUGUGUUGGUUGAUGGUUGAUUGAGAUAGGAUAACAGGUGGAUAGUCUUAUACAUAGACGAGACGAUGUCGGAUUUUCGAUAAAGAUUUAUAUGAUAAUUGAUUUGUGAUAUGUUAUGUGGAAUAUGAUUGACUAUAUGUUAGAGUCAAAGCAUGAUUAUGUGAUAAGUGAUAUCUAAUAGGUUUAAAGGGUUAUAUAAGGGGUAUCGAUAUACGUGAUGUGUAUGUACAAUAGAUUGUUUAGUAAUUAUAGUAUUGUCUUAUUCUCGUUAAGGAUUUGGACGAGACGUAUACGAUCGAAGACAUUCAGAAGGUCAAACGAUGAUGCAAAGCGAAUGAGAAAUGAAUCGAAGAGACGAAGUCGUAUUACGAAUAAAGUAUAGCCAGAGAUGGUCUAGAGACUAUGAUAUGCAUAGGUUGUGAGUUGGAAAGAUGAGAUUAAGCUGUGUGUGGAAGCGGAUUUAAGGCAAGUUUUCCUAAAUCUUUCCUCAUAUAUAUAUUGCAUGUUCUGAUUAUUCUGUCCAGAUUAUGGUAUUGCUUAUACUGAAACCCUUCUCAAAUAAACUCUUAUUUCUGAGAAUGAAACCCAUGAUUGUUUUCUACCUUUAAGUCUUUGAAAAGCCAAACACCUAAAUACUCUCAAUUUCUAUUACAAGUAUUCUGAUCCAUUCUUUCCAAUCCUCAAGAUUUUAAAAAUAUCAGCUUUACAAAUUAAUUCGAAGUUCAGACCGUCAUUGAAGCAUGGGUUGCUCAGUGAUAGUUAGAACCUAGAAUGAAUUGGGAUCUUCUUGAUUAUUCAACCCGCCAUUGUCAUGCUGGUUUAGCAGGCUAAAUUCAGUUGCUUAGCCGAUAAUGGAGGAUACUGAAUAGUUAGGAAUUUCCUGAACUAUGAUUUAUCAAAAGACAGACUGUGGUUUAUGAAAUGUUGAUCCUCAAAAGUUGAUUUGGAAUAUUUCUGUUGUUGAUAAUGAUUAUGAUUCUGUUCUGUUGAUUGAAUUGUCUAUUGAUUUAAAUUGUUAGAAUUGGAUUAGUUUUUAUAAAAUAUGUGGACCAGAUUCGUGGUCAGACCAGAUUCGUGGUCAAUUAUAGGCCAAUGUGUGCCUUGGAUCCAGUAUAGAGAACAGGGCUGUGUGCCAUGUUCGGGGUUAGUGCGUGACUGAUCAGCAGCCUAACCUUUGGUUUUUAAGUAAAAAUGUGAUGAAUCCAAUUCGACAAUUCUUCUGUAAGUUUGAAUUCUGAUUUCAAUUGCUGAUAAGAAUUGUGAAGUUUUCAAUUACAUAUCCUGAACCCUGAUAAGAUAAUUCAGGACUAUUGUUGCUUAUAUACGCUUGCUGAGCAUUGUUGCUCACCCUUGCUAUUCCUUUUUAACCAUUUCAGAAAAGCUUAAAGAUGAAUUGCUUGAUUGAGAUUGCGAGUAUGGCUAAGGCUAAGCGAGGAGUCAGAGUUAUAGAAUAUCCAGAGGACAAGUGGAAUGUCCAGGGAGAUUGUCAAGGUUGGUUCUAGAUAGAAUUGUAUUGAUGAGAUUCAGUUGUAAGUCAUAAUUGAAAUAGAUUGACAGUGAUUCUUCUUAUCGAAGAUGAUCUGAGGUUGUAAGACAUUGUUUAUUGAUAGUGGUUGAUUCUAAUUUCAAUACUGUAACCUGGAUGCGAUCCUGUUUUUAGGGGGUUAAAGUGUUUUCUUUUAAAUCUUUUACUAAAGUUUUCAGGUUUUAAAUCCUUUGAUUUUAUUACCUUUUUCAAAAAUACAGGUUUUCAAAAGUGUUUUAGAAUGAUUUUGUGUGGUGACGUCAGAAUCCAGACCCCCGGAUUCUCGGGCUGUCACAGUUGGUAUCAGAGCAACAGGUUAUAAGUUAUUGAAAUUAGAAUAUAGAUUGUGGUCAUAAGUUUUAUAGAGAAGAAGUUUUCAGUGACCUCAUAUAGAGGUAUUGUGAGACUGUUUGGGGAUAGUCUAGAGAGGUAAUCGGAAUAGAAUCUAGAUAGUUAAUUAAGUUGAGGGUAUAUGUUUAGAUAGAUCAUGGUUCAUAAGUCUAGAAACUUGGUUUCUAGUAUGGGGACUGAUUGAGAUAGUGAUUUGUGAUAAGGGUCAGAGUUAGACCUAGUCAAAAGAGUAUUAAUAGUGAGAUUGAGUUAAGAAUGAUAAAGAUGCAUGGUUUGAAAAUGGUUUAUUGUUUUAACUGAGAUGUGAAAGAAUGGGUGUAGAAUAUGAGAUAUGUUGGAUUGGAAAGAGAGUUUUGUAGACAGGUGAGAAAUGAAUGAUAGAAAGUAUGUGGAAUUGAGUCUAGUUAUCAGAAGUGAUAUUAUGAGUAGGAUAGGACGCUAGUCUUCAACGACGACGCUUCAAGCUAACCGGGAAUUCAUCUGAUUUCAAGAUGAGCCAGCUUCAUUGCGAAUGAUAAUGUCUACAAGGAAAUCUUACGAGGCUAUCACGAGUUAACAUGGAUCGAUUAUCGAGAACGCCGAGAAGAAGACAUACAUUGAACAACGAUUUAUUGGAGCAGAGCAAGAAUUUGAGAAGACCUUGGCAAUAUCUUUUUCCAACAAAAGCUUAUUUUAAUUCUUUUCAUCAUCAUUGAGCCCUUAUACCUUUCCUACAAAAGUUUUAAUAGAUGAGGUUUUCCAGUUCUCGAAUGACGAGAGAACAUUAGUAUUGAUUAUUGAAAUAAGUGGUAUUGAUUCUUGGUGUGUGAUAAAAGUUGUUGUGAGAAGACAAUGAUAUUUCUUGAUAUUCCUUGACAUUCCGUGAUAUUCUUUGAUAUACCUUGAUAUCUCUUGAUAUUCUUUGGUACUUUUUGAGAUUCCUUGAUAUUCCUUCCAUCUGAUUGGGAUGAACAACCCUAUUUAUAGGGGACACAAGGUAUACCUGUCUGUGUGAUAGGAAUUGGAUGGGACGCCAUCACUUGUGUGUGUUGUGAUUACAAGAAGGUUAACAACCUUUAGUAGUGUCUAAUAUGGGCACGCAACACUAAGUUCGUUUGGUCAUAUUGAUCUCUCAGUCACUUUCUUAUUUAAACAUGACCUAUUCUGAAAACCUUUUGCUCCAUUCUAAGUUCUUAAAGAUUGAAUCUAAGAACUGAGCUCUGAAAUAGUGAAAGUUUUAAUACUCUUAUUUGUUUCAAAGUCAAAGGUAUGCCAAGGUCGAACGAAGGUGGAAGGAUGAUAGUACGAAGGGUGUACAUUUUCGUUCUCUUCGCGGAUUCUGAGGACAGAAUCCUUAUAAGGAGGGUAGAUUGUAACAUCCCAGAUUUUCAGAAUUAGUUUAUUAAUAUAGAAAUAAUUUUUGAAUAUUACUAUUGGCUUUAAUUGAUUUCUUCUGAUAAGAUGAACGGUCUGUGUAAUAUGAGUAUAAUUGUGAUGUGAAUUAUAAGGUUUAAACCGACUAUGCAUUCUUCUCCUGUGAUUUCGUAUAUUUUUACGACCCGGAUUUUUCAAAAAUUGUGUAUCGUUAUGAAAGUUAUUUUCUUAGAAAGAAGGAAUAAAGUUUAAUAUUUUAUUCCAGUUUAAGGUAUUUUCAAAAUUUUAUUUUAUAUAAUUGAUUUUAAAGAUUUAAAGGAUGGCUAUCGUUACAUGGCUAAGUGUUGCAUGUGGAAUUGUGAGUUUAAUUAGUUAUGAUAAUUAAAUGUGAAUAUUGCAUGAAUUUGGUGUGAAUUGAUUUUCUGUAAUUGGUAAUUAUACGUGCCAGAACUGUGGGUUCAAUUAUUGAUAUUAUCAGAAUGAGUCAUAUGUUAUUUAAAUAUUUUCAAAUGAUUUAUAUACGGAUAUAUGAAUAUCCUUUCAAAACUCAUUUCAAAUAUUAUUUCUGAAAAUACAGAGAUUUGUUAUGCAAAAGUUAGAUGGUCGAUAUGUGAAGAUAUGUAUUACAUGAUUAAGUGUUACGUGUGUAAUGGUCGCGUAAUUAGUUAUG
rnacentral:lncRNA from 1 species